rnacentral:rRNA from 1 species
GACGAACGCUGGCGGCGUGCCUAAUACAUGCAAGUUGAGCGCUGAAGGUUGGUACUUGUACCAACUGGAUGAGCAGCGAACGGGUGAGUAACGCGUGGGGAAUCUGCCUUUGAGCGGGGGACAACAUUUGGAAACGAAUGCUAAUACCGCAUAAAAACUUUAAACACAAGUUUUAAGUUUGAAAGAUGCAAUUGCAUCACUCAAAGAUGAUCCCGCGUUGUAUUAGCUAGUUGGUGAGGUAAAGGCUCACCAAGGCGAUGAUACAUAGCCGACCUGAGAGGGUGAUCGGCCACAUUGGGACUGAGACACGGCCCAAACUCCUACGGGAGGCAGCAGGAGGGAAACUUCGGCAAUGGGCGAAAGUCUGACCGAGCAACGCCGCGGGAGUGAAGAAGGUUUUCGGAUCGUAAAACUCGGUUGGUAGGGAAGAACGUUGGUGAGAGUGGAAAGCUCAUCAAGUGACGGUAACUACCCAGAAAGGGACGGCUAACUACGUG